rnacentral:rRNA from 1 species
CGAUGAACCGCUUUCGGGCGGGGAUUAGUGGCGAACGGGUGAGUAACACGUGGGCAAUCUGCCCUGCACUCUGGGACAAGCCCUGGAAACGGGGUCUAAUACCGGAUAUGACUGUCCAUCGCAUGGUGGAUGGUGUAAAGCUCCGGCGGUGCAGGAUGAGCCCGCGGCCUAUCAGCUUGUUGGUGAGGUAGUGGCUCACCAAGGCGACGACGGGUAGCCGGCCUGAGAGGGCGACCGGCCACACUGGGACUGAGACACGGCCCAGACUCCUACGGGAGGCAGCAGUGGGGAAUAUUGCACAAUGGGCGAAAGCCUGAUGCAGCGACGCCGCGUGAGGGAUGACGGCCUUCGGGUUGUAAACCUCUUUCAGCAGGGAAGAAGCGAAAGUGACGGUACCUGCAGAAGAAGCGCCGGCUAACUACGUGCCAGCAGCCGCGGUAAUACGUAGGGCGCAAGCGUUGUCCGGAAUUAUUGGGCGUAAAGAGCUCGUAGGCGGCUUGUCACGUCGGUUGUGAAAGCCCGGGGCUUAACCCCGGGUCUGCAGUCGAUACGGGCAGGCUAGAGUUCGGUAGGGGAGAUCGGAAUUCCUGGUGUAGCGGUGAAAUGCGCAGAUAUCAGGAGGAACACCGGUGGCGAAGGCGGAUCUCUGGGCCGAUACUGACGCUGAGGAGCGAAAGCGUGGGGAGCGAACAGGAUUAGAUACCCUGGUAGUCCACGCCGUAAACGGUGGGCACUAGGUGUGGCAACAUUCCACGUUGUCCGUGCCGCAGCUAACGCAUU